rnacentral:rRNA from 1 species
AGAUUGAACGCUGGCGGAAUGCUUUACACAUGCAAGUCGAACGGCAGCACGGGACUCAGGCAACUGAGCCCUGGUGGCGAGUGGCGAACGGGUGAGUAACAUAUCGGAACGUACCCAGUCGUGGGGGAUAACUCUACCGAAAGGAGAGCUAAUACCGCAUACGUCCUGAGGGAGAAAGCGGGGGACCUUCGGGCCUCGCGCCAUUAGAUGAGCCUAGGUCGGAUUAGCUAGUUGGUGAGGUAAUGGCUCACCAAGGCGACGAUCCGUAACUGGUCUGAGAGGAUGAUCAGUCACACUGGAACUGAGACACGGUCCAG